GACAGAGGUGCCGAGCGUUAGGCGGAAUCACUGGGCUUAAAGCGUGUGUAGGCGGCUCGUUAAGUACCUUGUGAAAUCCCACGGCUCAACCGUGGAACUGCUGGGUAUACUGGCGAUCUUGAGCCACCUAGGGGCGAGCGGAACAAGCGGUGGAGCGGUGAAAUGCGUAGAUAUCAGGAGGAACACCAAUGGCGAAGGCAGCACUCUGGGACGUGACUGACGCUGAGACGCGAAAGCGUGGGGAGCAAACAGG
rnacentral:rRNA from 1 species